AAAUAGGCCAGUAUGAAACAGUGACAUUUAAAUGGAUUCUGCUGUGGUCAUGGACCUGAAUACCAAACUUUGACAGAAGAUUAAAAUGGAGUUAUCAGUUCUACUGUAUUAAUUUUGCUGGAGCAUGUAAUAAAUGACGGAAACAACUUUAUUAAAGGGGCUCCAUUUAAUAUGUAGCCUUCAGGCUGUUACAUUAUGGAAAGUAUUCUGUUGGGCCAAGAUACCUGAAAGGAAGAACAACGUAAAGAUUUUUCGGUUCUGCUGUUCGUGCCAUGUAAAGUGGCAAUUGUAAGAUAGACAAAAUGAUAAAAUAUACUGAAUUGACAUUUUACAUAUACACUCAGUGAUCUAGGUACUUUAGAUGUCGAGGGGUUGUCUGGUUGCUGCCCAAGGUCUUCUCCAUACAGCAGCCCUUGUUUCUGUAACUAGCACUGAUAAAGCCAAAAUGACAGAAAUAGCUGUACAUAAGGCGAGCCAGCACUUCUAGAUGCAUGGUUACCCACAGGGCUAAGGGGAAUGGUUUGCAUGGCUGUGCCCAAUCUCCUAAAAUGAGGGGUGACAUGCAAUACUCUAUGUUAUUGAUGGCUUACAUUGGCCCUCCAGCUGUUGCAAAACUACAACUCCCAUCAUUCCCAAAAAGCCUACAGCAGGGCAUGGUGGGAGUUGUAGUUUUACAACAGCUGGAGGGCGGCAGGUUAAGCAUCCCUGGUGUAGUGAGUGUAAU